AUGGGAGCUUGCUCCCUGAUGUUAGCGGCGGACGGGUGAGUAACACGUGGGUAACCUGCCUGUAAGACUGGGAUAACUCCGGGAAACCGGGGCUAAUACCGGAUGGUUGUUUGAACCGCAUGGUUCAAACAUAAAAGGUGGCUUCGGCUACCACUUACAGAUGGACCCGCGGCGCAUUAGCUAGUUGGUGAGGUAACGGCUCACCAAGGNNNCGAUGCGUAGCCGACCUGAGAGGGUGAUCGGCCACACUGGGACUGAGACACGGCCCAGACUCCUACGGGAGGCAGCAGUAGGGAAUCUUCCGCAAUGGACGAAAGUCUGACGGAGCAACGCCGCGUGAGUGAUGAAGGUUUUCGGAUCGUAAAGCUCUGUUGUUAGGGAAGAACAAGUACCGUUCGAAUAGGGCGGUACCUUGACGGUACCUAACCAGAAAGCCACGGCUAA
rnacentral:rRNA from 1 species